rnacentral:rRNA from 1 species
GAUGAACGCUGGCGGCGUGCCUAAUACAUGCAAGUCGAGCGAAGGAAGUAAUACGAACCCUUCGGGGGGAUGUUGACGGACUGGGCGGCGACAGGGUGAUUACCACGUUAAGAACCUGCCAUAAGGUCUGGGAUAACCACGUGAAAUCGGGGCUAAUACCGGAUGGGUCAUCGGAACGCAUGAUCCCAGGCUGCAAGGCGCUCCGGCGUCGACUGGGGCUGGCUUGGCGGUGCAUUAGCUAGUUGGUGUGGUAAUGGCACACCAAGGCGACGAUGCAUAGCCGACCUGAGAGGGUGAUCGGCCACACUGGAACUGAGACACGGCCCAGACUCCUACGGGAGGCAGCAGUAGGGAAUCUUCCACAAUGGGCGAAAGCCUGAUGGAGCAACGCCGCGUGAACGAUGAAGGCCUUCGGGUCGUAAAGUUCUGUUAUAAGGGAAGAACAAGUGCGUAAGGAAAUGGCGACGCCUUGACGGUACCUAGCGAGAAAGCCACGGCUAACUACGUG